GUAUGUAUCAAGGUAGCCCACAAUUGUUACCUUCAAUAUAUAUAUAUAUAUAUAUAUAUAUAUAUAUAUAUAUAUAUUGAAGGUAACAAUUGUGGGCUACCUUGAUACCCAG